AUGGAGUUGGAACUGAGAUUAAUUUUUAUUUUUGCUUUCUUAAACGAUGUCAAGGGUGAAGUGAAGCUGGUGGAAUCUGGAGGAGGCUUGCUGAAACCCGGGGGUUCUCUGAAACUCUCUUGUGUAGCCUCAGGAUUCACUUUCAGUAACACCUGGAUGAGCUGGGUUCGACAGACUCCUGGAAAGAGACUGGAGUGGAUUGGAAACAUUAAAUAUGAUGGCACUGAGACUAACUAUGCACCAUCCAUAAAGGAUCGAUUCACAAUCUCCAGAGACAAUGCCAAGAGCACCCUGUACCUGCAGAUGAGAAGUGUGAGAUCUGAGGACACUGCCACGUAUUACUGUACUACAUACACAAACUUUUGGUUUUUUGAGACAGGGUUUCUCUAUAUACCCUUGGAUGUCUAG